UGGGGAAUUUUGGACAAUGGGCGAAAGCCUGAUCCAGCAAUGCCGCGUGUGUGAAGAAGGCCUUCGGGUUGUAAAGCACUUUUGUCCGGAAAGAAAUCCUUGGCUCUAAUACAGUCGGGGGAUGACGGUACCGGAAGAAUAAGCACCGGCUAACUACGUGCCAGCAGCCGCGGUAAUACGUAGGGUGCAAGCGUUAAUCGGAAUUACUGGGCGUAAGCGUGCGCAGGCGGUUUGCUAAGACCGAUGUGAAAUCCCCGGGCUCAACCUGGGAACUGCAUUGGUGACUGGCAGGCUAGAGUAUGGCAGAGGGGGGUAGAAUUCCACGUGUAGCAGUGAAAUGCGUAGAGAUGUGGAGGAAUACCGAUGGCGAAGGCAGCCCCCUGGGCCAAUACUGACGCUCAUGCACGAAAGCGUGGGGGAGCAAACAGGAUUAGAUACCCUGGUAGUCCACGCCCUAAACGAUGUCAACUAGUUGUUGGGGAUUCAUUUCCUUAGUAACGUAGCUAACGCGCGAAGUUGACCGCCUGGGGAGUACGGUCGCAAGAUUAAAACUUAAAUGAAUUGACGGGGU
rnacentral:rRNA from 1 species